rnacentral:tRNA from 1 species
CUGGAGAUGGCUCAGUGGUUAAGAGCACAGACUGCUCUUCUAGAGGUCCUCCUGAGUUCAAUUCUCCAUCUGUAAU